UGCCUCUGAGAAUGUGAUACUGCUGUCUGA
rnacentral:piRNA from 1 species